AAGCUUCAGCAGCACAGACACUAAAAUUGGAAUGAUAUGAAGAUCAGCAUGACCCUUGUGCAAAAUGACAGGCAAAUUCAUGAAUCACUCCAUAUUUAU
ensembl:snRNA U6 U6 spliceosomal RNA